CAAAAACAUUACCUUAUGAAAUAUAUUAUAUAAGGCAAUUCCUGCCCAGUGAAUAAACUUCAACGGCCGCGGUAUCCUAACCGUGCAAAGGUAGCAUAAUAACUUGUCUAUUAAUUGUAGACUAGAAUGAAAGGAUAAACGAAAUCUUAUCUUUCUCCAUUGGUAAAAUAAAAAUUAUUUUUUAACUGAAGAAAGUUAAAUAUUAUUGAAGGACAAGAAGACCCUGUAGAGCUUUAUAUUAAAUAAUACAAAAUAAAUACAUAUUCGGUUGGGGCGACCUAAGUUUAAAUAAAUCACCUUAACAAUUAAGAGUUAUUACUCAACAAUAGAUCCUUUUUAAGAUCAAUAAAACAAGCUACCUCAGGGAUAACAGGCUAAUAUUUUAAAGAGUUCUCAUCUACAAAAUGAUUGGCACCUCGAUGUUGGCUUAGGAAUUCAAGAAAACGCAAAAGUAUUCUAAUGAUGGUUUGUUCAACCAAUAAUAUCCUACGUGAUCU
rnacentral:rRNA from 1 species